CCUACGGGAGGCAGCAGUGAGGAAUAUUGGUCAAUGGCCGGAAGGCUGAACCAGCCAAGUCGCGUGAGGGAGGAAGGCGCUGUGCGUUGUAGACCUCUUUUGUCGGGGGAUAAAAGGCUCGACUCGUCCGGUCUUGCGGGUACCCGGUGAAAAAGCAUCGGCUAACUCCGUGCCAGCAGCCGCGGUAAUACGGAGGAUGCGAGCGUUAUCCGGAUUUAUUGGGUUUAAAGGGUGCGGAGGUUGGCUUUUAAGCCAGCGGGGAAAUCGGGGGGCUCAACCCUCACAUUGCCGUCGAACUUGGAGGCCUUGAGUGUGUCUGAGGCAGGCGGAAUGCGCGGUGUAGCGGUGAAAUGCAUAGAUAUCGCGCAGAACCCCGAUUGCGAAGGCAGCUUACCGUGCCGCAACUGACGCUGAGGCACGAAAGCGCGGGGAUCGAACAGGAUUAGAUACCCGGGUAGUC
rnacentral:rRNA from 1 species